CUUCAUUACCUGGGAGAGCCUCUGAUCCAGGCGCAGCGUGAUCUGGGGAUUUGGUUUACGGGUGAGCACAGACACGUACCUUAUUUUAAAGAAGAUCGCAUGUUUGUUCAUCAUGGAGGAAAGGAAGUUCUUUCUGCUGUGGAAAUGCCAUCCUAUGCAGUGAAGCGUUGGCCAGUCUGGUGAUGGAAAUAGAGAAUGGAUAUAUUGGGUGAAUGGAACAGACAGAGUCUCUGCUCUUGUGAAACUUACAUUCCAGCAAGGGUGUGGAAGGGAUGGAAUAUGAACAAGUAAACAGAGUCAUUUGAAAUGAAAAUCACUUCCAAAUAUCGAGCGGAAUGAGAAACCAAGUAGUCUCCACCUCUACUGAAGCUAGAAGCCAUCUGUGAUGCCUAACCAUAAUAUGUUAAAAUGGAAAGCAGAUAGAGAGGUUGAUGGAGAAGAGAGAACCGAGUUAGAAUGAAGAUGAGGUGCUGCAGUAAAAAUAUGUGGAUUAAGUGAAAGCCUUUGUGCCCGAACAGUGGGCUCCCACCUGCCAUGCACUUUCUUUGCCUAGCUCCCAGAAUGCACCAUUGGGCUGAUAACCCAUAAGUUGGAGGUGAAGAGGUGGACAAUCCCUUUCUGGAGAACCUGGAAUCAGAGAAAAUACUAAGGAACACACUAAAAAGCUGUUUUUCCAUCUGAUUACCCAUCAGUCAACAAGGUCUCUCAGGUAAAUGGAACCUCCAGUCAAUUAUUUUGAGGGUGUUGCAUUCCUAAGUAUAAACUGGCUGCAAAGGAUUCACCGAUUUUAAAAGAAAACCUCCACUAAGAAAGACAGAGACCAAACAAGAAAUCAGAAGUGAAGAAAUUUUGAAAUAGAGAUAAUGCAAGGAAUAAGAGAAAAUGCCACAAUAUUAUAAUUAAUAUUCACAGAGAGAUGAAAAUGUCUUGCAUGCAUGGAGCAAGAACAGGUUACUAUUGCUUUUAAGUUUCAAUCAAAGAACAAACAAGAAAGAACUCUAUGAACUCAAAGUAGGGUUGAAGAAAUAAUAAAUGAAAUUUAAGGAUUAGAGGUAUGGUUGAAGAAAUUACCUCAGUAAAUAAACAAAAAGACUAAAAGAUAGAAAGAAAAUAUUUUAAAAGUUAUAAGAUCUGGCUGUGAAGUCUGAUAUCUGACUAGCCAACCUUCUAGAAAGAAAGAAUAGGGAAAACAUAAAAUGGAGGAAUGAAAUUUAUCCGGAAAUAACAUAAGGACGAAUUCCGGAACUGAAGGACAAGAGUUUUCUCAUGUGGGUUGAGAAGACCCACUCAGAGUUGAGCACAGUGAAUUUUAAGAGGCUCCCCUAAGGCUUGUCAGCAUGGUAUUCCAGAACACCAAAGACAGAGGACCCAAAAACUUUUUGAGAGAAAACAAGACAUCAUGUGACACAGAAAGGACUGGGAGGAAUGACAGAAUUGGAUUGUUAACACUGGGAGAGAGAAGCUACAGUCUUUAACACACUGAAUGAUGAUGCAUUUACAACCUAGAAUUUUAUAUCCAGCCAAAAUAUCAAGUGUUGGGGUAGAAUCAAGACGUCUCACAGACAGAACACUUACCUCCCAGGGACCCUUCCCCAGGAAGUGAUUAGAGGGUGUGCUUCAUCAAAGAAGGAAAUUCUGGAUCCAGGAAACAAAUCUAACACUUGAAAAAAGCAAAGAGAAUUCCAGGAUAAGGUAAUAUUAACAGCCGUACAUCAGUCCUAAAGGGCAAGUGGUCCAGAGGGGAGCAGGAGGACAGAGGGGUCCAGGAGGAGGGUCUCUAGGAGAAAAAAAUUAAACCAAUAGAUGAUCUGAUAUAUUCACACAUGGAUGAUUCUAUUAAGAAGCUAUUGGAGGAAAUGGGAAGAAAUUUAAAUAGAAAUUUUUUAAAAAACUAAGAAAAUGAAAGAGUGAAACAGACGUUCUAAGAAAAGAUACAUUUUCCAAAAGAGAAGCGUAAUUAUGACACUCCGCUAGACUUAGCAGUGAAGGAUAUUGGUAUUGUCAAAAUAAUGAAGACAUUGGGGGUCAGUCCUGUGGCUUAGUGGUUGGAUUCGCACACUCUGCUUAAGUGGCUUGGGGUUUGACGGUUCGGAUCCUGGUGCAGACCUAUAUACCACUCAUUGAGCCACGCUGUGGCAGUGGCCCACAUACAAAAAAUAGACAAAGAUUGGCACAGAUGUUAGCUCAGCGACACUCUUCCUCACACAGACACACACAAAAUAAUAACAGUAAUAAUAAUGAAAACAUGGGAUACUGCUUUACCUGGGAAAUUUUAUAUGAUCCUGUUGAGAAGAUGUGAGGGAGAGAGGGCAGGGCAGGGGCAUGUGUGUGUUUGAGAGAAAGAAAGCCAAAUCCUUAUUUACCAAAAUAGAAAGGCAGUAUAAAAAGCCUAAAAUUAAUGAAUCAAGAGAUAGCAGUAUCAUCAUAUUAUCUGUUAGAAAUGUGGAGGUUAACACCUGAAGAAACCCCUAAAAGAAUUAAAAGUGAUGCUUCUGGAGAGGUGGAAUGGGGUAAAUAGCAAAAAAUGUUUUCAUUAUAGACCUUUUACCAUUAUUUGACUAUUUCAAUUACAUGCCUAUAUUACUUUGAUAAACUUAUACUAUGCUUAAAGUAAGAGAAAUAACAGCAUAGGUAUUUCAAAAUAGUGUAGAAACUUCUCAUUGUCCUCAACCAUCCCUAUCUCUUUCUUCUCCUGAAAGAGAGCCCCAGUUUUUCACUGGACAUUUGUCCACCUAGAAUAAAGUCCCUUGCAGCUAAAUAUGGCCAUGUGACUAAAUUCUGGCCAACCGAUUGCAAGCAGAAGUAAUAUAUCCAAUUUCUGAGAUGUGUCCUUAAAGGAAGUGGCCCUGUUUUUGGUACCUCCUACUUCCUGCUGGAGCUCCAGGAGCCAUGAUGGUUUUGGAAUGGGCUACACAGGGCAGAGGAACAACGUAGAGGGGGCCUGGGUUUUUAUUACUGUGCCAUGCCCUGGAUUGAUGACUUCCAGACUCCUGGAAAUGCUGUAGACAUUCGUUGUAUUUUUUUAAAAACCAUUGUUACUUUGGGGCUGUUGAAUACAGACAAAUUUAAACCCGACUAAUGCACUGGGGCCUGUCAAAAGCCGUAGCAGAGGUGUGAGAAUAACUGGAUUUGGGGAACGCUGACCUGGAGUGCAGGAGUGAGAAGACAGGAGAGGGACAGACAGGAAGGCAGCAGGGCAGAGCCCUUUCUUGGGGAGCAAGAGGAGUCAUUUAAGCGGGAGGCCGGUGCUUUAUAAUCUGGGAAGCCUCAUUCAAGAAGGUAAGGUGGCAUUCAAGGGAGGAACUGGUCAUUAAGGGUCCGUCAGUGUGACUCACCCUCACGGUGCUUUAGGGGCUCAGUCCUGACCCGGAAGUUACCUGUGGUCUCAAAGGAUUCCUGCUGGGUACCCAUAUGACUCUCCUAACGAUGGUGGCCACUGACUGAGCCAGGCAUGCUGCAUCCUCUCACUGCAUCCUCAGACAACCAGCCAUGUGAUGUUAGCACGUCUAUUAACAUUCCUAUUUCACAGAAGAGGAAACUAAGAUUCCAAGAGGUCAUGCAAGUCCCCAAGGUCAUACAGGGAGAAUGACUGUCUGGCUGAGCUUCAAGACCCGAGGCAGACGGUAAAGUGCUGAAUCUGAGCUUCGAACAAAGGAAGAAGAGAAAAUCCUAGCUUGAUGGAGAAGCAAGUGUUUGAGCUGGGUCCUAAAUGGUCUGAAAGGUGAAGUUGAAAAUAAGAAGAAUUCUAAGUCUUUGGAACAGUGUAAACAAAAGGAUGGAGCCUGGAAAACACCAGGCUGGCUUGGGAAACUGGGAGUGAAUGAGUCUAGCUGGAGGAGAGAGUGUGGUGAUGUCCUGUGGGAUGAGGCUGGAAAUGCAGGGUGGGUACCAGGUUGCAGCAGCCUCGAGGGCAGGUUAGAGGUAUAUUUUGGGUUCCCUAGGACGUGAGUGUCAGGGAAGGUUUGUCUGUCUGCUUGAUUCCUUUUGUUUUUUAUUAAACCCAUCAGAUGCCUGCAGAAUAUUUAGAUGGAAUGUGGAUGCUCCUCCAUGAGCAUGUAUGAAGGUCACCCAUCCAGUGGCCUGCUUGGCCCCAUCCCAUCAUGGCCCCAUUCUGGCCCUGGUGGCAGGAUGACCAAGGGGGCCGCUGGGAUGUUUCCACUCCUGCCUUAGAGAACCCAUCCCUCUAGGAAAUGCUUCCCGGCAGAUUAAUGCUCAGAUGGUGCAAGGACUCACCAAAUACGUAUAUAUUAUAAAAAUGUUUUCAUGAAUUCAUCACCAUUUUAUUUGUCAUGAAAUUUUCCCUCCUGUCCAUUUCCUGGCGGGUAGGAGAAACAGUGUGAGAACUGGAACCAGGUUCUGGGAGGGGCUUUUAUUGCCCCGAAAUCGGGAAAGGGUGCGUCUGGUCCCUACAUUACCUCACGCUGUGCAGCCGCGACCUGUCUCUGGAGCAAUUUUACUGAAGCCUCUUCCCUCUUGGUUGCCAGCUUCCAUCUGGGCAACGGCAGGUGGUUGGACAGAAGCUUUAAUUGCACUUAAAGAAUUAAAAGAUGAGCUAGGCAGAAAACGAUGGAACUGGCCCAGGGAGAGGUCCGUGAUGGUGCUGGGGGCAGGGGAGUGAAGCCUCUGAUUGUGUCUACACCAGACUGGCUGCCUGGUGCGCUACAGACAGGGGAGACUCAGAUGGGGCAUGCUGAGAAUGGAGAAUCCCCCUGUGGCCCUUGGGGUGCCCCAAUCCUUCACAGUCCCUUUUCUUCAGUAUCCAGAUAAAAAGGCUUGAGCAUCCACUACUGAGAAAAGGCCGGGCUCUCACCGAGAGGUCUGAGGACUCCUGACGAUGGCGCCCUGUUUCUCUCACUCUGAAGUCACGUGCCUCGCUGGAGCCUCUCUCGGCCAUCUGCUGUUGCGUCCUUCUCCCGGCUCAGCACUGUUCCCCUCACCCUCCAAAGUGCCAUCACCCCAUCCGCCGGGAGAAGCAAACCCUACUGCACGUUUCAGAAUAGCAGGAGGCAGGCCCACUCUUAACAUUUGGACGUUCUGGGACACCAAUGGAGGCCCACUUACCAGAAGUCUAAGCAUUUAAAAGUUUUAAAUAAAAAAAUAUUGAAAACAUUCUAUCCAUCUACCUUGACAAAUGGAACUUUGCAACCAUCUGAAGGCCCGCUUGGAAUUUAGAAUUCUCGGCUCCUCAGAGUUAGUCCUGCAGCUUGCUCCCUGGGAGGGGCCUCUUGCUCACAUGUGUGGACCCACGCAUCUGGUCUCUGUCCACACUCCCCACACCCAGCCUGGGCAUGUGCACACUGUGUUACAGUUAACCCUCGGAGAGCAGGUCUCAGUGGCCCUGGGACUUGGCUUGGGUGACCUGGAUGGAAAGACUCCACUAUAGGAGUCAACUCUAGGCCAGUGGUCAGCAAAUGAUGGCCUGUGGGCAAUUCUAGCCUGUGGCCUAUUUCUGUAUGGCCUGCCAAGCCAAGGACAGUUUUUAAAUGACUGAAAAAUCACAAAAGAAUAGUAUUUUGUGACUUGUGAAAAUGCUGUGAGACUCAGAUUUUGGUGUCCAUCACUAAAGUCUUAUUGGAAUCCAGCUCUGCUUAUUCCUUUCCGUGUUGUCCUCAGCUGCCUUGGCGCCUCUGUGGUGGGCUCCGAAUCUGCAGUGGAGACUGGCUGUUUGAUGAAGGCUCAAAGACUCACUGACUGGCCUUUGCAGAGACACAGUUUGCGUCGCUUGCGUUCCUUCACUAUGCAGCAUCGUUGAUUCUCUCUAGAGCAGCCCAGGCAGCCUCACCGUUAAAAUUUUUAAGAACUGUGGUAAAAUAAACAUAACCAAAUUUACCGUCUUA